GAACAAUUGCCAAAGCGAAGUCAGAAUGGAAUGCGGAGCUGUAUGCAGUCCCCGGAGUUGAAGGGAGCUAUUACUUAAACGAGCUAGAUGUAGUGGCGUUUCUUGAUCCACCGAAGGGGCUCAUUCCUCUCGACCCUUCUUCAUACAAUCCCGCUUCUUAUCUUUGGAAAAAAUUGAUGACAUACCGGAGGAAAGGAGACAUCACUUGAUCUCUCUGUUAAAUCCCAGACUUAUAUCAAGAGCUUGGGAGGUGGCUGGAACGCGAUACGAUGAUGCCAAGUUAGCAAAGAGAAGUGCUUCCAGCUUGCUGUCUGAUGGAGCCACUGCAGGUUCUCUCGAGCUGUGGAAUAUCCGAACAAGUGGAGAACCGCUUCAAGUGGCUUGGAUGGGAUUGUCCCA